GCUUUGUCACGGUGUAAUGAGGUGAACACCUCAAGGCUAAUUUGUUGUCUUUAUAGCGUUAGAGCGGCGCUGGUGGCGCGUGCAUUGAGGCGAAUUGGUGCCGGAGACCACGUAAAGUGAUCGCAACAUUUAGCCGGUGGCUGAGUGAUGUGGUGUGUGUGUGUGUGUGUGUGUGUGUGUGUGUGUGUGUCCGCGGUACCUGUGAUUAAUCAUACAACUUCGCGUCUGGUGUUUUGUUCAAUCUAAUGGUGAGAGUGGGGAGUUGAGCUAAGUCUUCUCUAAGACAAACCCCUAGCCGAAGACGCUACAUGUGACGCUGCUGUUUUGCUUUAGUGCAUCAACAAUUGUUUUGCUUUAGUGCAUCAACAGUUGUUUUGCUUUAUGUACUGUUUUGCUUCAUGGUUUUAUGUAUUUUGUUUUACUUUAGUUUUGGAUGUAUGUCUGGUUCGUUUUGCAAGCACAUAUAGUAAGAGAGUGAGCAGUCUGAGAGUGGUAAAAUUAGUGUUUCCUAGCCUCAGAUCUGUUUCAGGUUUGUUGAUCUACAUAACCACUUUACUACUGAAAGGGUGUAUGUUAAGCCUUACUGUCUCCAUGCUACAGUGGCCAUAAUUGUCCUUUGUCCCUUUUUUUAUUAUUAUUUUUUUUAAACCAUAAUUCUGGUUCUGCUUGGGUGCUGUCCACUGCCUCCAUUUCUUGUGGUGGUGUCAGUGGGCCUGGGUGUUAUAGCUACCAUACCACAGUGUCUGUAAUAUUUGUCUUUCUGUGUCUUGUUGUUUAGUGUUUGUGUAACUUUGGGUUAACUGGUGUCUUCUUUGUCUCCAGGAGCCAGUGAGUCUUGGUGGGACAGGGUAGGCUAGCUGCAUUUAUUCAGUGGUGUGUUUCACAGCAUGCUCAGUGUGUCAACACAACUUCCUUAUGGUGUAGAUAGUGUGUGAUUUUGGUGUGACUUGCAGUGGGUUUGGAUGACCUCCUGAGCUGUAGCAGACCUGCCUUGUCCCUGCCAAGCCUGGGCCUGGAGAAGUUCUUAAUUUUUAAAAUAUUUAUUGUGCUUCAGGGGAAAGUGAUUUAUUUCCAUGUCAAGUUUUAAAUGAUGCUUAAGUGUCAUAAUAAAAUACAAAUUUUUAUAUUCGUACUCAUGUCUCACUCUUAUUUUCCUUGCCCCGAUUGGUGAAACUUGUGUGUGCCUUUUGUUUGUUAGCAUUUCCCUGGUUCUCCCUCAGGGUGGUGUAGUUGGAUUUACUGCAUUUGGGAUAAACGUUUUCCCUCCACUUAGGAAUGCCACAU
ensembl:lncRNA